UACAGAGGUCUCAAGCGUUGUUCGGAUUUAUUGGGCGUAAAGAGCGUGUAGGCGGUUCGGUAAGUCUGUCGUGAAAUCCUGAGGCUCAACCUCGGGCGUGCGAUGGAUACUGCCGGGCUAGAGGGUGGUAGAGGCGAGUGGAAUUCCCGGUGUAGCGGCGAAAUGCGCAGAUAUCGGGAGGAACACCAGUAGCGAAGGCGGCUCGCUGGGCCACACCUGACGCUGAGACGCGAAAGCUAGGGGAGCGAACGAGG
rnacentral:rRNA from 1 species